rnacentral:rRNA from 1 species
UCGGGAAUUUUGGGCAAUGGGCGAAAGCCUGACCCAGCAACGCCGCGCGAAGGAUGAAGUAUUUCGGUAUGUAAACUUCGAAAGAAUAGGAAGAAUAAAUGACGGUACUAUUUAUAAGGUCCGGCUAACUACGUGCCAGCAGCCGCGGUAAUACGUAGGGACCAAGCGUUGUUCGGAUUUACUGGGCGUAAAGGGCGCGUAGGCGGCAAUUCAAGUCAUCUGUGAAAUCUCCGGGCUUAACUCGGAACGGUCAGAUGAUACUGCUUUGCUAGAGUGCAGAAGGGGCAAUCGGAAUUCUUGGUGUAGCGGUGAAAUGCGUAGAUAUCAAGAGGAACACCUGAGGUGAAGACGGGUUGCUGGGCUGACACUGACGCUGAGGCGCGAAAGCCAGGGGAGCAAACGGGAUUAGAUACCCCAGUAGUCCCUGAGCGGGCUGG